rnacentral:tRNA from 1 species
AGGGUGGUAGUUCAAUGGUAGAACAGCGGUCUCCAAAACCGUUAAUGAGGGUUCAAUUCCUUCUCACCCUG